AACCAGGGACUGCCUCUCAGCCAGCUGUACUAUGCCAUUCUGAGCCCUAUCAACGGAAACAACGCUUACAAAUGCUUCCUCUCUUUUAGAACAUUCAGGUCCUCACAGAGGAAUCAAUCUGGUGGCCAGUCAGUUCGUCUGGAGAAUGGCUUGUGGUGCCCAAGCAAAGAGCACUGGACCUGGAGUCCAAACACCUGGGGUACUGAGCCUAGAAAGUAUGAGAUCACAAGCAAGGCCCCUGAAGAAGGACCCAGAGUGAUUGCUUCCAGAAAAAUGGGUCAGUAUCUGCAGAGAUACAACUUGUUGGUGAACUCAGGACUGUACUAUCAGCCUCAACAAAUGGACCUGGAGCCCAGCAGUCAGCCAUGCCAAGCUCCCCUAAGACCAACCAGUCCUGAACUGUCAGCACCUUUCCCUUGCGCAACUUCACCCUUCCCACCCCACCACCUCCCCACUCCUGCCAUCCCUGCAUCUUUGGUCUUUUUCGGGGCAGCUCUCCAUUCAACUAAAUCUUCAAUGCUUAAACUAAUUGUCUGAGUUUUCUUUGUAGCUUAAACCUUGCCUCACAGUAUCUACUUUUCUUUUAUCAGUCUACUCAACUCAGGACACAGACAGAAUUUGGACUUAGGUCUGUGUGGUCAACUGAGCAACCAGUACCAACUCCCCAGAGCAGCCAGGGGUCUGGGAGGAAUGCUUGGGGCAACAUUUUACCAAAUGUUUCUGGCCUCCCUCUAGCCCAGAGCAGUAAGUGGUGUUCAGGACAUUCUAAACACCAGCCCCCUCUACCCCUUCCCCAGGAUCAUGACAACUUCUUCUUCUUCUUCUUCUUCUUUUUUUUUUUGCUGAGGAAGAGUCACACUGAGCUAACAUCUAUUGCCAAUCUUCCCCUAUUUUGUAUGUGAGCUGCCGCCUCAACAUGACCAUCAAGGAGUGGUGUAAGUCCACACCUGGGAAGCGAAACCAGGCCACUGAAGCAGACUGUGGCAAACUUAAGCACUAGACCAUGGGCCAGCCCCUCAUGACAACUUCUUAAGCUGAGUAUACAGCAAUUACUUAAUUCUUCUAGACACAAAAUAACCAGUAGCUGUGUCCACUCUGAGCCUGUGAGCAAGCAAAACCAAGUCCAAGACUACCUCCUCGUCUGCAUCACAAGGCCUGGGGCCCCAGCAGUUCUCGGGUCUAAAGGCUUUUCGGGCUCCUAAAGCUUCCUCUAUUUACAAUAAUGUUUUUCUCUGAAAAUAUCCCUAAUAAUUAGCUAAGCAAAAAGGAAAAGGUGUACUUUUAUGGACACAGUCAAUUCUUGGUUAUUCCGGGAGGACUUCUCCCAUUUUAGAAAUUUCCAGCUUCUUCUUUCUCCCAGACUGUUCUUCAUUCAUUCCUUCAUAAAUAUUUAUCUGGCAUCUACUGGAUACCAGGCCCCUUAGCCCAGCCCGGGGUGUCUAGGGGUAAAGAGCCAUCUUCUCUUAUAUUAUUACCAGGCUGACUCCGAGAUUCAACACCUCAGUCAGGAAAGGGAGAAAAGUGUUAAUGAAAUAUUUGCCUUGCAAUGGCAGCAGAGUAACAACGUCCUGGGAAAUAAUUCUUCAUACUUCAGCUAUUUGGGGCAAUAUCUGAAGGAGCCUUUAAAAAGGUGGGGGCCGGCCCCAUGGCGGAGUGGUUAAGUUCACGCGCUGCGCUUCUGCGGCCCAGGGUUUUGCUGGAUCGAAUCCUGGGCACGGACAUGGCACCACUCAUCAAGCCAUGCUGAGGCAGCAUCCCACAUGCCACAACUAGAAGGACCCACAACUAAAAAUACACAACUAUGUACUGGGGGGCGCUUUAGGGAGAAAAAGGAAAAAUAAAAAAUCUUUUAAAAAAAAGGAACUAUAAAAA
rnacentral:lncRNA from 1 species